AUUGAACGCUGGCGGCAGGCCUAACACAUGCAAGUCGAACGAGUGGCGGACGGGUGAGUAAUGUCUGGGAAACUGCCUGAUGGAGGGGGAUAACUACUGGAAACGGUAGCUAAUACCGCAUACCAUCGGAUGUGCCCAGAUGGGAUUAGCUAGUAGGUGGGGUAAAGGCUCACCUAGGCGACGAUCCCUAGCUGGUCUGAGAGGAUGACCAGGCACACUGGAAGUGAGGCACGGUCCAAAACACUAAGGGAGGGAGCAGUGGGGAAUAUUGGCAAAAGGGCGCAAGCCUGGUGCAGCCAUGCCGGGGUGAAUAAGAAGGCCUUCGGGUUGGAAAGUACGUUCAGCGGGGAGGCGUUACCCGCAGAAGAAGCACCGGCUAACUCCGUGCCAGCAGCCGCGGUAAUUC
rnacentral:rRNA from 1 species